UCCCCUACAGCUCAUGUUAGGAAGAGCAUCCGACCGUUAAUCGGAUGGGCGCUGGUUCGAGUCCAGCAGGGGAA
rnacentral:tRNA from 1 species